AGGGGCUGUAAGGGGCGGGGCUGUAAGGGGCGGGGCCAAGCUGCUCUGGAGGUCAGUUUCUUAUGUUUCCAGCCCCGGGGCCCUUUUGACCUCUGCAUGGAGAAGCCAACUGCCUUCCGCUGUUCUGAGUCUCUGCUGAGUGGCAAACAUGGGCUGAAUAGCUUCAGAUCCAACCAUGAAAGUGAAAACAUACUGGUGAUCGGUGUGAAGACAAUCACGGUCAUCUCUUCCAGAGUUCUGCUCCCGUGAAGUUCGUUCCACAUGAAGGAAGAGCCAGCCGUCAUCAGGCGUCUUUCCAGUCCUUUCCUCUUCUGCAGUUGUUUACAGUUGUCUUGAGACCUUUCAUCCUUUUUCCCUUUCUGGAGAGCACAGUACUGAGGCUCGCCCCCGCGAAGCUAACGGGAGCUGAUGAAACAUUGUCAGUGUUUCUGCAGAAUCCUUAUCAAUGGCGUUCGAUCUCAUGUUGACAGGUUAGCUGUCUCCGCUUCCACAGCACUGUCUGACCGCCAUUCUCCAUCACAGCAGAUUGACUCGGGUGACUGUCUCCGUGGUUACAAGGAGGUUAAACUCUCUCCCCAGGAUGAGACAGCAGCAUGGUGGUGGCUUGCAGGAUGUAUGCAGCGUGAACGUGUGCACCGGACUCAGAUGCCUCGCUCUGAUCCUCAUGGAAUUUAUUUACCUUGACUUGUUCCCACCUGCUGAAGUGGGAAAGACACUCAAACAAGAAGCGUUUAGUGGGGAAGCUGGAUGCCAGGAACCAGGCUGAGACUGCUCCAGAAGCCUCAGGGACCUAUAAUUGGUCAUCUGCAGGGUAGCCUGCUCUUUUUCAAAGGAGCUGUCGCCAAGUUCCCUGUUUGCCAGACCUCUGGGCCUGAAUCCUAGUUGGUUUAGUGGUAAUAGGGCCAAGGUCACAGGCGCGCUCCUAACUUUAGCAAACAUUUCUCAAGUGAAGUCAGUCCACUGGGUGUGAGAGAAAACGAUUUAGCUCGACCUUGUAAUCUCUCAAAUAAAUAAAUAACCCAUAAAAUCAUAGGCUGUGCAGAUGGAUUGCCAAGAGUUAUAGACAUAUUUAAAAUAGUUUCUAUUUGCAAUAGGGAAGACCUAUUUCCUAUUUAGUUUUAGUGAAUCUCAACCCGGGAAAGGCUAAAUUCCAAAUCUACCCCCUGUAGGUUUGGGUAGAUGUGAUGGUGGAGGUAUGUUUG